GUGAGUCAUCGAAUCUUUGAACGCACACUGCGCCCCGCGGCCCCCCGCGGGGCACGCCUGCCCGAGCGUCAUCUCACCCUCAAGCGCCGCUUGGUGUUGGGCCCUGCCUACGCGGCCGGCCCCAAGGUUAGUGGCGGCGUCCCGGGCCCCUAAGCAUGGUACGCAACUCUUGCUCCAGGGCCCCGCGGCGCCUGCCAGAACCCGUCAACCCCUACGGUUGACCUCGGGUCAGGCGGGGAUACCCGCUGAACUUAAGCAUAUCAAUAAGCGGAGGA
rnacentral:misc_RNA from 1 species